rnacentral:rRNA from 1 species
GGAAUUGUUCACAAUGGGCGCAAGCCUGAUGACGCAACGCCGCGUGGGGGAUGAAGGUCUUCGGAUCGUAAACCCCUGUCGAAUGGGACGAAAGACCCGGGAGCUAAUCAUCCCGGGAGUGACGGUACCGUUAACGGAAGACACGGCUAACUCUGUGCCAGCAGCCGCGGUAAUACAGAGGUGGCAAGCGUUGGUCGGAAUUACUGGGAGUAAAGGGCGCGUAGGCGGCCUUUCAAGUCAGACGUGAAAUCCCCCGGCUUAACCUGGGAACUGCGUCUGAUACUGGGAGGCUCGAGUGUGGGAGAGGGAUGUAGAAUUCCAGGUGUAGCGGUGAAAUGCGUAGAUAUCUGGAGGAAUACCGGCGGCGAAGGCGGCAUCCUGGACCAUAACUGACGCUGAGGCGCGAAAGCUAGGGGAGCAAAC